CUUCUCUCCGACUCAUAACUUCAGACUCCACAUCUAAGGUUUUCAAUGACUCCUUUCCUAACCAGCACCCUGGACCAGCUACCUCUCUAAGCUUUUUGCAAUCUUUGCAUUUGCAACAUGUGGCGGCUAUUCCGGAGGCCUGCGGCUGAGCGUGGACUGCGUCAACAAGACAGAAAGUAACCUCAGCAUAGACAUAGCCUUUGCAUAUCCAUUCAGGCUGCACCAGGUGACCUUUGAAGUGCCCACGUGUGAGGGAAAGGAACGGCAGAAGCUGGCGCUGGUUGGAGACUCCUCAUCCUCAGCAGAAUUCUUUGUCACCGUGGCUGUGUUCGCCUUUCUCUACUCCCUGGCUGACCACUGUCGUGUAUAUUUUCUUCCAGAACAAGUACCGCGAAAACAACCGGGGCCCACUCAUUGACUUUAUCGUCACUGUAGUCUUUUCAUUCUUGUGGCUGGUGGGUUCGUCUGCCUGGGCAAAAGGACUGUCUGAUGUCAAAGUGGCAACAGAUCCCAAAGAAGUCCUGUUGCUGAUGUCAGCUUGCAAGCAGCCUUCCAACAAGUGCAUGGCUGU
rnacentral:lncRNA from 1 species